rnacentral:rRNA from 1 species
CCCUUAGAUGUUCUGGGCCGCACGCGCGCUACACUGACUGGUGCAACAAGUGUCUGACCUUGGCUCGAGAGGCCUGGGCAACCUUUGAACGCCAGUCGUGCUGGGGAUAGAUUCUUGCAAUUAUUAAUCUUCAACGAGGAAUUCCUAGUAAACGCAAGUCAUCAGCUUGCAUUGAUUACGUCCCUGCCCUUUGUACACACCGCCCGUCGCACCUACCGAUUGAAUGGUCCGGUGAACCCUCCGGAUCGGCUCGCGCCAACGCAAGUUGAGCAAAGGCCGAGAAGUUGGGUAAACCUUACCAUUUAGAGGAAGGUGAAGUCGUAACA